UUAUAACUAAAUAUUGCAUAUAGAGUAGUUUAAAGACUGUGAGAAUCAAGAACAGCCUUUCACCAUGGUUAUUCCAUAAAGCUGUUUGAAGAAUCUUGAGAGUGUGGGAUGGCUGAGAGUGUUUCUGCAAUGGAUAACCCUGAUGAGGAACAUCAUGAAGAAACAGAUUCCUUCCCUGACCCGUGCUGUGAGGAAGGAAAGAACAAUCCAGCAGCACCAGAGUCCGAACAGCCCAGCACUCCUGUGCAGAACAAAGUCGAUCAGGUCAGCAUGGAGUCAGAGUCUCUGCAUUCAGACACACAU